AAUAAGCGUAUCCAUAACUUUCCGCGUCUAACUUAGAUCGUCCGUUUUAUUUAAAAUUUUUUUAUAAUUAGUAUUUUUGUUGCCAUGAGUUAAUAAAAAGAAUAGUACUUUACUCGUGACUUAUGUUUUUAAUUUUUUUUUAAAAAAAUAAAUAAAACGAACUGUUAAAGUUGGACGCGGAAAACUAUAGCUGUACUUAUU
rfam:Oryza meridionalis cultivar OR44 (W2112) chromosome 4, whole genome shotgun sequence.